CGAAUGCUGACAUAAGUAACGAUAAAGCGGGUGAAAAGCCCGCUCGCCGGAAGACCAAGGGUUCCUGUCCAACGUUAAUCGGGGCAGGGUGAGUCGACCCCUAAGGCGAGGCCGAAAGGCGUAGUCGAUGGGAAACAGGUUAAUAUUCCUGUACUUGGUGUUACUGCGAAGGGGGGACGGAGAAGGCUAUGUUGGCCGGGCGACGGUUGUCCCGGUUUAAGCGUGUAGGCUGGUUUUCCAGGCAAAUCCGGAAAAUCAAGGCUGAGGCGUGAUGACGAGGCACUACGGUGCUGAAGCAACAAAUGCCCUGCUUCCAGGAAAAGCCUCUAAGCAUCAGGUAACAUCAAAUCGUACCCCAAACCGACACAGGUGGUCAGGUAGAGAAUACCAAGGCGCUUGAGAGAACUCGGGUGAAGGAACUAGGCAAAAUGGUGCCGUAACUUCGGGAGAAGGCACGCUGAUAUGUAGGUGAAGUCCCUCGCGGAUGGAGCUGAAAUCAGUCGAAGAUACCAGCUGGCUGCAACUGUUUAUUAAAAACACAGCACUGUGCAAACACGAAAGUGGACGUAUACGGUGUGACGCCUGCCCGGUGCCGGAAGGUUAAUUGAUGGGGUUAGCGCAAGCGAAGCUCUUGAUCGAAGCCCCGGUAAACGGCGGCCGUAACUAUAACGGUCCUAAGGUAGCGAAAUUCCUUGUCGGGUAAGUUCCGACCUGCACGAAUGGCGUAAUGAUGGCCAGGCUGUCUCCACCCGAGACUCAGUGAAAUUGAACUCGCUGUGAAGAUGCAGUGUACCCGCGGCAAGACGGAAAGACCCCGUGAACCUUUACUAUAGCUUGACACUGAACAUUGAGCCUUGAUGUGUAGGAUAGGUGGGAGGCUUGGAAGUGUGGACGCCAGUCUGCAUGGAGCCGACCUUGAAAUACCACCCUUUAAUGUUUGAUGUUCUAACGUUGACCCGUGAUCCGGGUUGCGGACAGUGUCUGGUGGGUAGUUUGACUGGGGCGGUCUCCUCCUAAAGAGUAACGGAGGAGCACGAAGGUUGGCUAAUCCUGGUCGGACAUCAGGAGGUUAGUGCAAUGGCAUAAGCCAGCUUGACUGCGAGCGUGACGGCGCGAGCAGGUGCGAAAGCAGGUCAUAGUGAUCCGGUGGUUCUGAAUGGAAGGGCCAUCGCUCAACGGAUAAAAGGUACUCCGGGGAUAACAGGCUGAUACCGCCCAAGAGUUCAUAUCGACGGCGGUGUUUGGCACCUCGAUGUCGGCUCAUCACAUCCUGGGGCUGAAGUAGGUCCCAAGGGUAUGGCUGUUCGCCAUUUAAAGUGGUACGCGAGCUGGGUUUAGAACGUCGUGAGACAGUUCGGUCCCUA
rnacentral:rRNA from 1 species